UACGAAGGGUGCUAGCGUUGUUCGGAAUUACUGGGCGGAAAGGGCGCGUAGGCGGUACUUCAAGUCAGGCGUGAAAGCCCCGGGCUCAACCUGGGAACCGCGCUUGAGACUGGAGAACUAGAGUUCGGGAGAGGAUGGUGGAAUUCCCAGUGUAGAGGUGAAAUUCGUAGAUAUUGGGAAGAACACCGAUGGCGAAGGCAGCCAUCUGGACCGACACUGACGCUGAGGCGCGAAAGCGUGGGGAGCAAACAGG
rnacentral:rRNA from 1 species